AUACGUAGGGGUCGAGCGUUGUCCGGAAUGACUGGGCGUAAAGGGCGUGUAGGCGGCCGAUUAAGUCUGGAGUGAAAGUCCCGCUUUCAAGGUGGGAAUUGCUUUGGAGACUGGUUGGCUUGAGUGCGGAAGAGGUAAGUGGAAUUCCCAGUGUAGCGGUGAAAUGCGUAGAGAUUGGGAGGAACACCAGUGGCGAAGGCGACUAGCGAAGGCGUAACUGGCGCUGAGGCGCUAGAGCGUUGGGAGCGAACAGGAUUAGAUUGCCUGGUAGGCCACGCGGUAAACGAGGAAUGCUAGGUGUUGCGGGUAUCGACCCCUGGAGUGCCGGAGUGAACACAAUAAGCAUUACGCCGGGUGACUACGGUCGCAAGGCUGAAACUCAAAUGAAUUUACGGGG
rnacentral:rRNA from 1 species